CCCUUAGAUGUUCUGGGCCGCACGCGCGCUACACUGAUGCAUUCAACAAGUUUUACCUUGGCCGAGAGGCCUGGGAAAUCUUUCAAAUAUGUAUCGUGAUAGGGAUAGAUUAUUGCAAUUAUUAAUCUUGAACGAGGGAUUCCUAGUAAAUGCAGAUCAUCAUUCUGCGUUGAUUACGUCCCUGCCCUUUGUACACACCGCCCGUCGCACCUACCGAUUGAAUGAUCCGGUGAAGCCUCGGGAUUGUGCCCAGAGAACUUUAUUGUGAUUUGGGUGUGAGAACUUGUCUAAACCUUAUCAUUUAGAGGAAGGUGAAGUCGUAACA
rnacentral:rRNA from 1 species